rnacentral:lncRNA from 1 species
GCAGGUGAAACAGGUGCAGAGGUUGAAUUUUUAGAAACGUUUUUCUUAGCAGGAGGAGGAGGGGGAGAUCUUGAUGGUGGAAUAGAUGAUUUCCGCGGAGGUGGGGAUCUUAAUCGAGUAGGUGGGGAUCGAGGUGGGGAUCGAGGUGGGGAUCUUAAUCGAGUAGGUGGGCCCCGACUACGCUUAGGAGGACGGGAAGGGGAAGGAGAAGGAGAAGGGGAAGAGCCAGGUCUAGUAGCUAGACUUCUCCUCGGAGUAUCAAUC